rnacentral:rRNA from 1 species
CACGGGGGGAGCAAGCGUUGUUCGGAAUCACUGGGCGUAAAGGGCGUGUAGGCGGUCAGGUAAGUGAGACGUGAAAUGCCCCGGCUUACCCGGGGACCUGCGUCUCAUACUGCUUGGCUUGAGUACGGGAGAGGGUGUGGGAAUUCCUGGUGUAGCGGUGAAAUGCGCAGAUAUCAGGAGGAACACCGGUGGCGAAGGCGGCAUCCUGGACCGGCAUUGACGCUGAGGCGCGAAAGCUAGGGGAGCAAACGGG